GUGGGGAGUAUUGGACAAUGGGCGAAAGCCUGAUCCAGCCAUGCCGCGUGUGUGAAGAAGGUCUUCGGAUUGUAAAGCACUUUAAGUUGGGAGGAAGGGCAGUAAGUUAAUACCUUGCUGUUUUGACGUUACCGACAGAAUAAGCACCGGCUAACUUCGUGCCAGCAGCCGCGGUAAUACGAAGGGUGCAAGCGUUAAUCGGAAUUACUGGGCGUAAAGCGCGCGUAGGUGGUUUUGUAAGUUGGAGGUGAAAUCCCCGGGCUCAACCUGGGAACUGCCUCCAAAACUGCAUGACUAGAGUACGGUAGAGGGUAGUGGAAUUUCCUGUGUAGCGGUGAAAUGCGUAGAUAUAGGAAGGAACACCAGUGGCGAAGGCGACUACCUGGACUGAUACUGACACUGAGGUGCGAAAGCGUGGGGAGCAAACAGGAUUAGAUACCCGGGUAGUCC
rnacentral:rRNA from 1 species